AACGAACGCUGGCGGCAUGCCUAACACAUGCAAGUCGAACGAGACCUUCGGGACUAGUGGCGCACGGGUGCGUAACGCGUGGGAACCUGCCCUUAGGUUCGGAAUAACUCCCCGAAAGGGGUGCUAAUACCGGAUAAUGUCUUCGGACCAAAGAUUUAUCGCAUUUGGAUGGGCCAGCGUUGGAUUAGCUAGUUGGUAGGGUAAAAGCCUACCAAGGCAACGAUCCAUAGAUGGUCUGAGAGGGUGAUCAGCCACACUGGAACUGAGACACGGCCCAGACUCCGACGGGAGGCAGCAGUAGGGAAUCUGCCGCAAGGGGCGAAAGCCUGACGGAGCAACGCCGCGUGAGUGAUGAAGGUCUUCGGAUCGUAAAACUCUGUUAUUAGGGAAGAACAUAUGUGUAAGUAACUGUGCACAUCUUGACGGUACCUAAUCAGAAAGCCACGGCUAACUACGUG
rnacentral:rRNA from 1 species